ensembl:lncRNA
AGAAAAGGGUAUAAUGGUAUCUACGUAACAUGGAUUUCUUUACCUGACAAUAAAAUAUAUUUCUGUUGCAUUAAUACCUAGCAGACUUGGGGAAACGUCACAUGGCAAUGACCACCUCCAUUUCAGAAAUCUAAGAGCAUAUAGGAAUGCUCUUUGUAAACCUUAUAGCAUUAACAAAAUACAGCAACAUUCAAAAACUCCACAUCUUCCAGUUCAGACAUGACUUUUGGCGUGUUUUAAGAGCAGAUUGUGUAUUUGAUGUCCUCUUCGCUGUUUCUCUCCGUAUGUUAUCCAGGCAUACAGACAUCAGCUCUUGUUAAAUGGUGCCUGUCUGCUGUAUGAGUGAUGGCGUGGUGGAUGGGGGGGGGGCUGUGGUAUUUGUCCUAGGGCCCUGAGGACUGCACCUGGACAAUGUCAGCAGUCAACACGUUGUGGAGAGGAAGGUCCAUGAGGGGAAAUGCGUGGAGAAAGCAAAAGAACAGAUGAUGCAUAAAUAGUAUGUAUGGUCGGUGCUCAUAUAUAUGAAUGUCUCCCAACAUGUUGCCCUCAUUCCAGCUCACCUUCUGCACCUGGAUGGGUGGGGAGGAGGGCGGUGCCGCCGAAAGAGAGAGUGUGAAGCCCCCCCAAGUUACAUUCCACCUUGAGCUUUUACAAGAGACACAUCUCUCUUGGCAACCUUAACGUGCUCCGGUGAUCGGAUAAUUGACGACCCCCAACCUGCUAAUUUCUCUGGCAUCUCGUUCAGCCCCUACGAUUCAGACCAUAACCUCUUUACUACGCAUCGUUGGACUGGGGAUCAACACCUUCCACUCUUUCUCUGUCUCCGUCCUCUGCUUUCCCCUAAACAUUGUUUAUUAAAGUCAGUGAGGGCUGUGGUACAACUGUGGUACAACUGUGGUAAAACUGUGGUACAGCUGUGGUAAAAAUUGAGUAAUACUGUGGUACAACUGUGGUACAACUGUGGUACAACUGUGGUACAACUGUGGUACAACUGUGGUAAAAUUGGUACAACUCUGGUAAAACUGUGGUACAACUCUGGUUAUACCGUGGUACAACAGUGGUAAAACUAUGGUAAAACUGUGAUACAACUGUGGUAAAACUGUGAUAGAACUGUGGUAAACUUUGGUAAAUCGGUGGUACAACUGUGGUACAACUGUGGUAAAACAGUGGAACAACUGUGGUAAAACUGUAAUACUAUUUUGAUACAACUGUGGUACAACUGUGGUAAAACGGUGGUAAAACUGUGGUGAAACUGCUCUACAUCUGUGGUAAACAGUGGUACAACUGUGGUAAAAUUCUAAUACAACUUUGAUACAACUGUGGUACAACUGUGGUAAACGGUGGUAAAAGUGUGAUGCAACUGUGGUAAAACGGUGGUAAAACGGUGGUAAAACUGCUGUAAAAUGAUGGUAAAACUGUGAUACAACUGUGUUAAAAAUAGAUUAGAUUAGAUUAAACUUUAUUGUCACUGGCAGAGUAGAGAUAUAGAACCAAUGAAAUGCAGUUGACGUCUAACCAGAAGUGCAAAAGAAGCAUCUAAAUACCAAAGUGCAAUUUGAGUACAGUGUAAGGUUAUAAAUACCUUACACUGUACUCAAAUGGUGUACUAAAUGGUGGUAAAACGGUUGCAAAAAUCAGAAAGUGUUUCAUUAAUUCAUGUAAAUUAAAGGCAUUUUGUUACCGUCUACAGAGCUGUUAAAAUAUAAAAUUAGAGGAAUUUGUGGGUAAAACUGGGUAUGUUCUCAUAUAUGAUAUGUUACAAUAUUCUAAUGUGCUGUCGUACAUGUAUUCAUAUAUGUAUGCCUAAAUGUUUGUGUACAUGUAUACGUAUAUGUAAAUGUAUAUGUACAUGUAUAUGUACGUAUAUAUGUACAUACACAUGUAAAUAUACAACGUAUAUGCUUGUCACCACCAUAUUUUAACUUAUACAGGUUAAGGAAGCCUUUAUAUAAUCCAACUAUGCUCCAUACUGUGGUUGAUGUUGUUUGGGGUGGGGGGGCAGAGUGCUUGGGGCCUCGUGUUCAGGUGCCUACAUGCCCAGUGCUCGGUGUGAGGAGCCCAUAAAUAGCAGGGCCACCGUCCCCUCACCUCUCAAAGCUGUUGAGGAAGAGCGCUCUGGUCUUUGAGAGGAGCAUCCCCGCGACCAUGGUUCCUGCUAUGAGACUGCUGGCCUUCUGCUUGCUGGCUGCUGCUUGGUAUUUCACUGCAUCAGAGGGAGAGGUCAUCUACUCCUGCCACAACGAAACUGCUGAACUGAAAUGUGAGGUGGGCAGCAAGAUCAAGCUGAACCACAUCCUGUACAAGGUAGGCGUGGGCACCCGGUGUGGGGAGGGCAAGCGCCACCCAGAGGACGGCCCCGGCUCCUACUGCACGUUCCCCUGGGCGGAGUUGGUGGUGGAGGACCUGUGUGGCGGUAAGAAGUCCUGUGAGGUCCCGGUCACCGAGCACGUGUUUGGAGAAUACCCCUGCAAGGAGCAGACCCGCUACCUAGAGGUCUCCUACGACUGCAGCCCACCCCCUGUCCCCCAGGAGCCUUGACAAGUAGGCCUAUGGACAUCAUAGCUCGCCCGAGUAUGUUGAGCCCAAAAUACUGAUCAACCAUGAUGAAUCUUAAUCGCCCUUCACCUUCCUUCAUCAGUCAACAGAUUGGAUUUAGGAUUAUGUACAAAUUAUGAACUUUUAAAACGAAAACUGUUUAUAAAAGUGUAAAUCACUUUUCAUAGAAAAUGAUCUCUUCUGUCAAGUAAAGUUAAUGGUAAAUAAAAUAAAUGAUUGACAAAUGUGUGUGGGUGUCUUGUGUAUGUGUGUGUGUGUGUGUGUGUGUGUGUGUGUGUGUGUGUGUGUGUGUGUGUGUGUGUGUGUGUGUGUGUGUGUGUGUGUGUGUGUGUGUGUGUGUGUGGGGGGUGUUUGUGUGUGUGUGUGUUUGUGUGUGUGUGUGUGUGUGCAUGUUAGUGUGUUUGUGUGUCUGUGUGCUCGCGUAUGUGUGUGUCGUGUGAGUGUGUGUAUGUAUGUGCGUGCCAUUCCUAUGAUAGCCAUUAACAUGCAAAUCCUUUACACUGCUAACAUAAAAGUUGGGAGAAGCGUUUUAAUUUAUUGUUUAAGCUUGUCUUUCAAAUGUGAAAAUGUAACCUUUGCUGGCCAUGUUUGUUUUCAUUGUUACCAAAUUACCCGCUUACAGAUCCACACCUCGAGCAACAUGAUUGGUCAAAACAAAUAUGAAGCGAAAAUGUUUAAGCCCCAGAUUUGAGCUUGUCUGCGAUCAGACUUUUGAUUAUUCAACAGAUUUGUGAACUAUACAAUUCAAAACUGCAACAAAUGUGGGGUAGCUAUUAACAACAUGAACAACAAAUUAAUGUAUUUCAUAACAUGAAAUCACAAUUUCUGGAUAAUUCUGAUGAGAUACUAACAUAAAGUUUUCAAUCUUAUAAGUAGUAUGGUAUACUUUGAUGAUGGUUUGAGGAACAAUCAUUAUUAUUAUUUAUUUUUUAAGAAAAUAUGUUAUUUAUCAUUGAUUGAUUGAUUGAUUGAUUUAAUUUAUUUCAGACAUAUCAAGAUACAAAUCAAACAUCGCAAAUAACACCAAACAAAAUAAAAGCAUGACACUACAUAAACAAAAGCGAUGUGCCAAUUAUUUCACUAAAGAAAAAAAAAUUACAUACGAUAUGCCUGAAAAGGAGUAGGAUAAUCAUAAUUAAAUAAAACGCAAUUAGUACAAAUGUUUUAAUAAUUUCCUUGUUUUUAAGUUUUAAAGAUCAACUGUGCCCAUCCACUAGUCAAACCAUCCAGGGAUUUUUGUUUUUCUAAAUAUUUUGUUCUGUUGCACCCUACCCCUAGCACAAUCGGAAAACAUAAAUAGUCUGAAAAUGAUAUCACUAUAACUGCAGGUUCAACAACAGCCACUAGAGACUUCUAAUGGGAAAUCUUACAUAGUUCAUUUUUAAGGCACAGAAGGGCCAAAUAAGUCCACCAGACUAUAACCUGAUGAGGGGCAGCAUAUAACCAGAAAGUUAGUGGUGACCAUAUUGCAUUCAGCCCGUUUGUCCCACAUAUCAAUCACAGUUAACUUCACAAACGUAAUAACACUGUUAUUAACGUUAUACAAGUAGGCCACGCUACUUUUUUAGAAUCUAUCACUGCGUUGCAAACAUUAGAAUUAAGAACUAAUAGAAUAGAAGAAAUGUUGUUCAAAAUUAAACUUAAUUCCUUUACUCGUCAAGAGCAUUUAUAGCAGUGAAAAGCAACACAAAGCUCACUCUUGUUUUGCUCUAUUUCUAUCAUCGAUUCAUCGUUUUCUUUGCCUUGGAUGACAAGAUGGCAGAAUCCCAACCUGAGAGGCGGUGCUCUCAUCCUCUCUGGACAGAGAGCGGACCACCACUGCAGUGACGGGGACCUCUGGUGGUUUAAAGCGGUAGGCUACUGCCAAACGUUGCGAGCCGGUGCUCGCUGGGAUAUCUGCCUACAAAAGCAAAUAUAUCUUCAACGUCUUUGACUUAACUUAUUUUUUUUCACAUUCUAACGAUAAUUUGGAAGUAAUCAUUUCAAUAUCACGACACAAUUUACGUUUUCUUGAUCUUAAAAUAUCUCCACUGUGACGAUCAGUGCGGGGAAGUGGGGGACCUGAAGCAGGAGGUCAACAUAAAUUAAUUUGUUUGUCAAAAAACUUACUGGUGGAUGUUCUGAACAUAUGUUUUGCAGCAGAGGGAAGAACAUGCUGCUUGUUACAACGCAUUUUUCCAGCCAGGACACCUUGGAUACCUGCAGCCCAUAUGAUCCCAAACUAACCAACCGUUUGCAUUCAAAGCAGGCUAAGAACAACCUAAAAGCCAAACUUUGAGAUUUCUACCUUGGACGUUGGGCCUAGUUUUGUUGAACAUCUACUUUAGGCAAAAUGUAGAUGAUUGGGAUGAUACGAUUGCUCAUCCUGGACAGACGCACACACGCAGACACACACA